rnacentral:rRNA from 1 species
UACGAAGGGGGCUAGCGUUGUUCGGAAUCACUGGGCGUAAAGGGCGCGUAAGCGGCCUGAUAAGUCGGGGGUGAAAGCCUGUGGCUCAACCACAGAAUUGCCUUCGAUACUGUUAGGCUUGAGACCGGAAGAGGUAAGUGGAACUGCGAGUGUAGAGGUGAAAUUCGUAGAUAUUCGCAAGAACACCAGUGGCGAAGGCGGGUUGCUGGGCUGAUACUGACGCUGAGGCGCGAAAGCUAGGGGAGCGAACGGG